rnacentral:rRNA from 1 species
UACGUAGGGGGCAAGCGUUGUCCGGAAUCAUUGGGCGUAAAGCGCGUGUAGGCGGCCCGGUAAGUCCGCUGUAAAAGUCCAGGGCUCAACCCUGGAAGGUCGGUGGAUACUGUCGGGCUCGAGUCCGGAAGAGGCGAGUGGAAUUCCUGGUGUAGCGGUGAAAUGCGCAGAUAUCAGGAGGAACACCAAUGGCGAAGGCAGCUCGCUGGGACGGUACUGACGCUGAGACGCGAAAGCGUGGGGAGCAAACAGG